GGCUCCAUCUACAUCGUCCUCAACCAAGUGAACUCUCUUUGUGGUUAUGUCACAAAUUACAAGCAGAUCUCUAAAGAGACGGUGACCCAAACCUUCGUUUGCAUGACUACAAUCUCCGGUUCCAUCAGUAACUCCCGCAAGACAAACUCUGGAACAGAAAUCAUUGAUAAUCUCGUGAACAAGUGCGGCC